rnacentral:rRNA from 1 species
UACGUAGGUGACAAGCGUUGUCCGGAUUUACUGGGCGUAAAGAGCGCGCAGGCGGUCGUUCAAGUCGAGUGUGAAAGCCCUCGGCUUAACCGAGGAACUGCCUGUCAGACUGGAUGGCUUGAGACCGGGAGAGGUGAGUGGAAUUCCCAGUGUAGCGGUGAAAUGCGUAGAUAUUGGGAGGAACACCAGUGGCGAAGGCGGCUCACUGGACCGGAACUGACGCUGAGGCGCGAAAGCGUGGGGAGCAAACAGG